rnacentral:rRNA from 1 species
GGCUCAUUAUAACAGCUAUAAUUUACUUGAUCUUGACACAAUCCUACUUGGAUAACUGUGGUAAUUCUAGAGCUAAUACAUGCAUUAAAGCUCUGACCUCACGGGAAGAGUGCAUUUAUUAGAACAAAACCAAGCGGCUUCGGCUGUUUCUGGUUGACUCAUAGUAACUGAGCUGAUCGCAUGGUCUUGCACCGGCGACGUGUCUUUCAAGUAUCUGCCGUAUCAACUUUCGAUGGUAGUGUAUCUGACUACCAUGGUGAUCACGCGUAACGGAGAAUAAGGGUUCGGCUCCGGAGAGUUCGCCUGAGAAAUCGCGAACACAUCUAAGGAAGGCAGCAGGCGCGAAAAUUACCCACUCUCAGCACGAGGAGGUAGUGACGAAAAAUAACGAGACCGUUCUCUUAUGAGGCCGGUCAUCGGAAUGGGUACAAUUUAAACCCUUUAACGAGUAUCUAUGAGAGGGCAAGUCUGGUGCCAGCAGCCGCGGUAAUUCCAGCUCUCAAAGUGCAUAGAAUUAUUGCUGCGGUUAAAAAGCUCGUAGUUGGAUCUGUGCCAGAGGACGUGGUCCACCUUCGGGUGCGUACUACGCUCCUAGGCUUUUUGCUGGUUUUCCCGUCGUAGCCUUCACUGGUUGCGGCGGGUGGCUGGCGAGUUUACUUUGAGAAAAUCAGAGUGCUCAAUACAGGCGUAUCGCUUGAAUGAUUGUGCAUGGAAUAAUAGAAAAGGAUUUCGGUCCUCUUUUAUUGGUUUUGUGGACUGAGAUAAUGGUUAACAGGACAAACGGGGGCAUUCGUAUCUCUGCGUGAGAGGUGAAAUUCUUGGACCGUAGAGAGACGCCCUACUGCGAAAGCAUUUGCCAAG